rnacentral:rRNA from 1 species
GAGAGGAACUUGUUCCUCGAGUCGUUGAUUUCACACUGCCGAGAAAAGCCUCUAGCUAGAAUAACGGUGCCCGUACCGCAAACCGACACAGGUAGUCAAGAUGAGAAUUCUAAGGUGAGCGAGCGAACUCUCGUUAAGGAACUCGGCAAAAUGACCCCGUAACUUCGGGAGAAGGGGUGCUCUUUGAGGUUCACGCUUCGAAGAGCCGCAGUGAAUAGGCCCAAGCGACUGUUUAUCAAAAACACAGGUCUCUGCUAAACCGUAAGGUGACGUAUAGGGGCUGACGCCUGCCCGGUGCUGGAA